UACGGAGGGUCCGAGCGUUAUCCGGAAUUAUUGGGUUUAAAGGGUCCGUAGGCGGGCCGUUAAGUCAGUGGUGAAAGUCUGCAGCUCAACUGUAGAAUUGCCUUUGAUACUGGCGGUCUUGAAUCAUGGUGAAGUGGUUAGAAUAUGUAGUGUAGCGGUGAAAUGCAUAGAUAUUACAUAGAACACCGAUUGCGAAGGCA
rnacentral:rRNA from 1 species